AUAUAUAUAUAUAUAUUUAUAUGCGUGUAUGUAUGUAUGUGUGUAUACUGUGUAUAUGUACUGUUACUAUCAGUCGUAUAUUGAACACGUGACAAAACCUUAAGAGUAAUUCUGUGUUCAGUCACGGCGACCAUCAGUCUCGAUCGAUCGUCCGACUUAACCGGAGAAACUCAUCCCAAUCAGUUAAUCAUAAAAUAUAUAUCAUUCCUUAUUACUUAGUAUCUUUUUUGGAUAUGGGAGUAUACGUUCAUGGUGUCGUUUAAACACGUGUUCAUUGUAUACUCUAGGUGAGGUCUAAGAUAUAGAUAACGACUAACCCAAUGUGUUUUACACUUGGAAUACAUUUCUAAUGUCUAUUCAAAUAUAGCACUUGGCACUUAGCAGGGAGUUGUGUCUUUCGAAUAAGGAAGUGUCGAUAGGAGAGGGGAAAGGUAAAGAAGGGAAAGAUUGAUGAUCAAAAAAAAAAAAAAAAAAGGAUCAAUUAUUCAUUGAGGAAAAUUAUUGAAUGAUUUUGAUCUAUUGUUAGGUGUCUAUCAAAAGGAAGAAAAAAAAGAAAGAAAAAAAGAAAGAAAAAAGAGAAUGAUCACUCGUAAACGUUAAAAAAAUUUAUUAAACGAUUCCGAUCGAUUCAGUAAGGAAAAGGAAUAAUGAAAAAAAAAUAUAUUUACAUUGUGAUUCACUCGCAAUGAUUUCCAAACGAAUGAUUUUAAUUUUGCUACACGAAGAACCGAAAGAGAGAGAGAGAGAGAGAGAGAGAGAUAGAGGGAGAGAAAAAAACCUGAAGGGAAGAAAAAUUCCUGAGAAUCCUGUUCGCUAAAAAAAAAAAAAAAAAAGAUCCAUUCCAAAAACACUUCUAAAAAAAAAAGGAUUGCUCGUUGUUGCAUCAAAAAAAAAAUUACAAUUUCUGAUCAAUCCUUUUCACUUCAUGCGAAAAAAAUCAAAGAUCACGAUGAAAAAUAAUAAAAAUAGAAAUAAAAAUGUCAGACAAAACCCAGAAACUGAAAUAGUUCCUCGACCCUUUGCAGCCAAAAGAAGAAGAAAAAAAAAAAAAAAAAACAAAAAAAAAGAGAAACCAAACUAUUUUCUCUUAGGACGAU